AACUUUUAACAACGGGUCUCUUGGCUCUCGCAUCGAUGAAGAACGCAGCGAAAUGCGAUAAGUAAUGUGAAUUGCAGAAUUCAGUGAAUCAUCGAAUCUUUGAACGCACCGUGCACCCUUUGGAAUUCCGAAGGGUAUGCUCGUUUGAGUGUCAUUGUACUCUCUCACUCCUCUGAUCCUUUGGCUUCGGGGAGCGGUGGACUUGGGUGUUUGCUGCUUUCCUUGUGGCUCACCUCAAAUGCGUCAGUGCACCUCUUGGUUGGACAUAGUACGGCGUGAUAAGUGUCUUCGCCGGCACCUCGCAAGAGGGUGGCCGAUCGAGAGCUCUGUGCUUUCAAACCCUCUUCGGACAACAUCUGACAACUUGACCUCAAAUCGAGUAGGACUACCCGCUGAACUUAAGCAUAUCAAUAAGCGGAGGCU
rnacentral:misc_RNA from 1 species